rnacentral:rRNA from 1 species
GGGGGGGGCCUAAAACAUGGCAAGUUCGAACGCACAGCGAAAGGUGCUUGCACCUUUCAAGUGAGUGGCGAACGGGUGAGUAACACGUGGACAACCUGCCUCAAGGCUGGGGAUAACAUUUGGAAACAGAUGCUAAUACCGAAUAAAACUUAGUGUCGCAUGACACAAAGUUAAAAGGCGCUUCGGCGUCACCUAGAGAUGGAUCCGCGGUGCAUUAGUUAGUUGGUGGGGUAAAGGCCUACCAAGACAAUGAUGCAUAGCCGAGUUGAGAGACUGAUCGGCCACAUUGGGACUGAGACACGGCCCAAACUCCUACGGGAGGCUGCAGUAGGGAAUCUUCCACAAUGGGCGAAAGCCUGAUGGAGCAACGCCGCGUGUGUGAUGAAGGCUUUCGGGUCGUAAAGCACUGUUGUAUGGGAAGAACAGCUAGAAUAGGAAAUGAUUUUAGUUUGACGGUACCAUACCAGAAAGGGACGGCUAAAUACGUGCCAGCAGCCGCGGUAAUACGUAUGUCCCGAGCGUUAUCCGGAUUUAUUGGGCGUAAAGCGAGCGCAGACGGUUUAUUAAGUCUGAUGUGAAAGCCCGGAGCUCAACUCCGGAAUGGCAUUGGAAACUGGUUAACUUGAGUGCAGUAGAGGUAAGUGGAACUCCAUGUGUAGCGGUGGAAUGCGUAGAUAUAUGGAAGAACACCAGUGGCGAAGGCGGCUUACUGGACUGCAACUGACGUUGAGGCUCGAAAGUGUGGGUAGCAAACAGGAUUAGAUACCCUGGUAGUCCACACCGUAAACGAUGAACACUAGGUGUUAGGAGGUUUCCGCCUCUUAGUGCCGAAGCUAACGCAUUAAGUGUUCCGCCUGGGGAGUACGACCGCAAGGUUGAAACUCAAAGGAAUUGACGGGGACCCGCACAAGCGGUGGAGCAUGUGGUUUAAUUCGAAGCAACGCGAAGAACCUUACCAGGUCUUGACAUCCUUUGAAGCUUUUAGAGAUAGAAGUGUUCUCUUCGGAGACAAAGUGACAGGUGGUGCAUGGUCGUCGUCAGCUCGUGUCGUGAGAUGUUGGGUUAAGUCCCGCAACGAGCGCCACCCUUAUUGUUAGUUGCCAGCAUUCAGAUGGGCACUCUAGCGAGACUGCCGGUGAACAACCGGAAGAA